UACAGAGGUCUCAAGCGUUGUUCGGAUUCAUUGGGCGUAAAGGGCGCGUAGGCGGCAAUUCAAGUCAGCUGUGAAAUCUCCGGGCUUAACUCGGAACGGUCAGCUGAUACUGCUUUGCUAGAGUGCAGAAGGGGCAAUCGGAAUUCUUGGUGUGGCGGUGAAAUGCGUAGAUAUCAGGAGGAACACCGAUGGCGAAGGCAGCUCGCUGGGACGGUACUGACGCUGAGGCGCGAAAGCGUGGGGAGCAAACAGG
rnacentral:rRNA from 1 species